AAUAUAAUGUGUUGUGAAUGUUCCAUGCUCUGUCCUUGUGGAUGUCUCCUUCCUAUUUCUAGGUCUGUGGGAAUUCUGGGAAGGUGGUAGAGAAGCAUCAGGUGUUAUAGGAGAAAAGGCCUUCAAUUGUCUUAAGGAUGGUGUGAGAAGCUUACUCCUCCUGAAUCCCAGCCAGGACCAACUAGACAUUUGGUUGAAGAUGGACGGUGUGUUAAAGAAGUGGAUGGCAUAUAGAAGCAUGGAUUCUGGACAUGGCUGUGCCACUAAGUACAGAAGUAACAUGAGUGAGAAUAUAGAUCAGCACCCCCUUUCUAAAGAAGAGGAAACACACUUCACAUAACUUAUUCUCUUCAAUCUGAUAGUGACAAAGCUCUGCCUAAAUCUGUAUUCUUUGGAGUCUAGUAUAACUUUUUUCCCCACUGCAUCAAAGCAGGAAGUCUUUCCUUAUGUUUAAAUAAUUCUCUUUUGUGAUUUAGAUCCUUCCUUCUUGUUCUGGCCUCGGCAAGGACCAGACCAGGAGAGCAGCUGGUCACCAUUUUUUAUAUGUGAACAUUAUAAAUAAAACGUUUUCCAAACCUGCCCUAAGAGUUAGGGUUUCUUUUAGAGUCUUGAGCCCCAGGGACUCAUUUUAGCCCAUUCAAACUACAAAAUACUUUGGUUCUGAAGAUCUUCUUCUGAAAGACCCCAAUAAAGAUUUCUCCUCACAGUCCAUUCAUCAAUUAGUCUCCUCGUAUGGCUAAGGGGAGAUGUGCAAAGUCAGCUGAAUUUGGCACUCAUUAUUCCUAGAGGAACGUAUAUUUCAAACUUAAUACUUAGAUUCCAAACUCU
rnacentral:lncRNA from 1 species